AAACAUGAGAUUACAUCUCCUCAUCCAGGGAGUACACACACACACACACACACACACACACACACACACACACACACACACACACACACACACACACACACACACACACACACACACACACACACACACACAUACACACACACACACACACACACACACACACACACACACACACACACACACACACACACACACACACACACACACACACACACACACACACACACACACACAGGGAGGGAAUGUUGUGUUUGUUUAAUUUUGUUUUAGGACUAUGAAAAUGGACAAAAUGAUUAGCCUUAGAUGGGGAAACAAGAGUUUCAUUCCAAAAAGCUAUUCAUCCAUUUUCAGAAAUGUUCGUAAAUUAGCUUUUAUUGUUUAAAGAAGUUAUGUUUUUGUUAAGUUAUGUUGUUUUGCUAAAUGAGGAGAUGACACGUGGGUACCUGCUUCUAUUAACCAAUGAGGAGAUGGGACGUGGGUACCUGCUUCUAUAAACCAAUGAGGAGAUGGCACGUGGGUACCUGCUUCUAUAAACCAAUGAGGAGAUGGCACGUGGUACCUGCUUCUAUAAACCAAUGAGGAGAUGGGACGUGGGUACCUGCUUCUAUAAACCAAUGAGGAGAUGGCACGUGGGUACCUGCUUCUAUAAACCAAUGAGGAGAUGCAGCGCGAUAUGCGUCACAAAUAGAACUGACUUCUAGACGCUCGUUGACGCGAAUAAUGAGACUAUAAGGAGUACCAGUACUGAGUCAAUGUGCAGGGUACCAGGUAGUUGAGGUAAUAAUGAGACUAUAAGGAGUACCAGUACUGAGUCAAUGUGCAGGGUACCAGGUAGUUGAGGUAAUAAUGAGACUAUAAGGAGAACCAGUACUGAGUCAAUGUGCAGGGUACCAGGUAGUUGAGGUAAUAAUGAGACUAUAAGGAGUACCAGUACUGAGUCAAUGUGCAGGGUACCAGGUAGUUGAGGUAAUAAUGAGACUAUAAGGAGUACCAGUACUGAGUCAAUGUGCAGGGUACCAGGUAGUUGAGGUAAUAAUGAGACUAUAAGGAGAACCAGUACUGAGUCAAUGUGCAGGGUACCAGGUAGUUGAGGUAAUAAUGAGACUAUAAGGAGUACCAGUACUGAGUCAAUGUGCAGGGUACCAGGUAGUUGAGGUAAUAAUGAGACUAUAAGGAGAACCAGUACUGAGUCAAUGUGCAGGGUACCAGGUAGUUGAGGUAAUAAUGAGACUAUAAGGAGAACCAGUACUGAGUCAAUGUGCAGGGUACCAGGUAGUUGAGGUAAUAAUGAGACUAUAAGGAGUACCAGUACUGAGUCAAUGUGCAGGGUACCAGGUAGUUGAGGUAAUAAUGAGACUAUAAGGAGAACCAGUACUGAGUCAAUGUGCAGGGUACCAGGUAGUUGAGGUAAUAAUGAGACUAUAGGGAGAACCAGUACUGAGUCAAUGUGCAGGGUACCAGGUAGUUGAGGUAAUUGUGGUAAUAUCCACAUGUAGGUAGGGGUAUAAGUGACUAGGCAACCAGAUUAGAGAUUACAUCUCCUCAUCCAGAGAGUUCACACACACAAACACACACACACACACACACACACACACACACACACACACACACACACACACACACACACACACACACACACACACACACACACACACACACACACACACACACACACACACACACACACACACACACACACACACACACACACACACACACACGGAG